AUUGAACGCUGGCGGAGUGCUUUACACAUGCAAGUCGAGCGGCAGCGCGGGGCAACCUGGCGGCGAGCGGCGAACGGGUGAGUAAUACAUCGGAACGUGCCCAGACGUGGGGGAUAACUACUCGAAAGAGUGGCUAAUACCGCAUAUGAGCUAAGGAUGAAAGCGGGGGAUCGCAAGACCUCGCGCGCUUGGAGCGGCCGAUGGCAGAUUAGGUAGUUGGUGGGGUAAAGGCUUACCAAGCCUGCGAUCUGUAGCUGGUCUGAGAGGACGACCAGCCACACUGGGACUGAGACACGGCCCAGACUCCUACGGGAGGCAGCAGUGGGGAAUUUUGGACAAUGGGCGAAAGCCUGAUCCAGCCAUUCCGCGUGCAGGAUGAAGGCCCUCGGGUUGUAAACUGCUUUUGUACAGAACGAAAAAGCUCUGGUUAAUACCUGGAGUCCAUGACGGUACUGUAAGAAUAAGCACCGGCUAACUACGUGCCAGCCGCCGCAGUAAUAC
rnacentral:rRNA from 1 species